rnacentral:lncRNA from 1 species
GUUUACCUGUAUUUAAGUAUUGAGGGGAUAACGCAGCUCAUUUGUAAAAUAUUUAGCUUGAAGCAGUGAUCUUACCGUGGGCAAAACGCCACUAUCAUAAAGCUAAACAAGGCAAUCUUAUUAGGGUAAGUCGUUGAAGGUUGAACGUUUCGAUUCAUUCCUAAAUGUUGAACACUCAUCAAGAAAAGCAUGAGCUGGUAAACAUCCAGCGAGAAAUUAAACCGUUGCAUAAGAGGCGACAUGCCCUAUAUCGCAUUUAAAAACACGUAUGCUGGUAUUGAAAACAGAAACAAAGUAAAGCAAAGUAUUGCCCACAUACCCAACACAAUACAGGUUACGAUGCUGAAACCAAGUCCGUCACAAAAACAAAUACUAUGCUAAAAGAUAAGACAACGCGCAUAUGAACCGUUAUCAGCAAUGUAAACAAAGUGAAUGCCUAAGUGAUGUGAAGAAUGAAACAGAAAAAUCCCCAUACACACUGUACCGUAAGUAAAGUAGGUAAUCAGCUGGUGUUUUGAUGUGCCGUGAAAUUGCGUCUUCCCACACAGUUCCAGUAUCAAUCAAGCAACCACCUGCUAAAGCGGGACUGGCCGUCUACUCGGUUUGUCAGAUGUAAUCAAUUAUUGGUCACCUUUCAUUCAGCUCUGUGUCUGGUGUUACCCGUCUUCGCCGCGUACGAAACUACCUUCAAACGACACAGUUGACCAAGUUAACCCGCGAACCCCCAAUAAGGAAGACAGUCAAUGGUGUAAGAGUCCUCAGCCUGUUGUUACCUGUCUGCUCCGGUAACUGAAUGUACCGCCCUCCGGAACGCCACUCUAUUGUGCCACCGCCACGUUAUGCCCAAAGGGGGUUUUUAUGCAACUUUUAUAUGCCACAGAUUUUCUCCAAUAGUAAGUGGACUGGUAACAGUUAAUAUAAGAAGAAAACUGCAAAAUAUUCUACCUUAGAUUUUUUGGGUAAUCCUUUUGAAGUUUUCUUCAGUUACGUUUACAUUAUUGUUAUUGAUUUCAUAACCAAACAUUUCGACCUCAACUGUAAGGCCGUCUUCAGUGUUGUGUACUAGUACAGCUCAGAGAUAUAUUAUCAUUCAAAAGACGAUUUCUUAAAAAAAAAUACAUUCACGGUUGCGGUUUAACUAGUUUGUUUCUUAUGAUUAAAAAUAACUUCCUGUGAAAAAAAACGUGAGGUACAUGAAAGUUGCAUAAUAACUCCUUUCGGACACAGCGUACACCGUUCGCGCUGUUCAUUGAUCGCAAAACGAUCGAUCGGUGGUUGAUCGAUCGGCGGCCGCGUAAUUCAAUUAUUCACCCAUAUUCGGUAAACUAAUGACCUGCUAUCGACGACGACGCCGAUUUCGACGAAUUUGGCUGCAGAGCCGGGGAGAGCAAGCUGCGUCACACAAAGUUGUCGUCGGUCUGGUAGAUAGCUGUAGUCGUCGAACAGCAAAAGCCAGUCUCACUGACGAAGACGGACGGUAAUAAGUAAGGAGCUCGUGUUUACGAGGCAACGGAUAUACAUACUUAGCUUGCAGCAUGGGUGAAGUGAUCAAAUCUUGCUAUUACUGUUGCUGCACCUGUUACCAGUCGGGUCUUUGCUGUGCAAGCUUGUGCUGCGUACUUCUACCGAUAAUCGGCCUACUUUUGGUGCUGACCGGCAUCGUCGUUGCCGUAAUGCUCGCCUUCUCCGUUGGGAACCAAAGCCCAAGUGAAUACACAAUCAGCCGUCUGUUGACGACGCUGACGAGCAACUCCACCAGUGGAUCCGGACCCCAUGGCGAUUAGUCAUUUCGUUUUGUGUUUUCUGAAAACAUUAUGCUAAGAUUUGUUUAUAGCUGGUAUUUAUUGAAUUUAGGUUUAGAUUAGCCAUAUUUGUGUGAGCGUAGAAUAAUCUGUACAUGAGUAGGAACCUACAUAAACUAUCGCCCCGUCAACCCGUCUGGGGCCAAAUGUCA